rnacentral:lncRNA from 1 species
CGCGGGUCCGAGACCCCUAGGCACCAGGGACCGGGGCGAGUGACCAUACAGGGCUCGUGGUACCCACAUGCACCUGCUGCGCCACGUGCCCAGGACCGGGCCGGUGGGCUCGCACCACUCCCCGCCCCCCGCCGUUGGCCCCGCGGGUCCAGGUCGUCUGCCUGCCAGGGACCCGAGCAGGUGACCACACAGGCCCUGCGGCGCCCACACGCACCUGCUGCGCCACGUGCGUAUGGUGCCCGGCGGUUGGGCUUGCACCACCCCCCCGCCUGUUGGCCCCGUGGGCCGCGUGGGUCCGGGACCCCUACGCGCCAGGGACCCGAGCAGGCGACCACGCAGGCCCCGGGGCGCCCACAUGCACCUGCUGAGCCACGUGUGCGCCAGACCCGGAGGUUAGGCUCGCACCCCCCCACCGUCCCCCGCCGUUGGCCCUGCAGGCCGCCUCGUCGCCACGUGGGUCCCGACCCCUAGGCACCAGGGACCGGAGCGGGCGACCACGCAGAGCCGCGGCCACCCGGUCAGUGCCGCCGCCAGCACGUCCCUGUGACGAGCCCCUCGCCCCGCGUCCCGGGGCCGCCGCAGGGCCGAAGGGUGGCGCCGGCUGGAGCAGAGCCCUUGAGCUCGCGAAGCUCAGGCCUUUGGGGCUGUUUCCUGCAGUAGAUUCCGUGUCUCCUGGAAAGCACAGGGUCGGGUCGGAACCGAAACGGAGAACGGUUCGCGCCAGGCCCCAAAGGAAUCCCGGUGCGUAAAGUUCCUGCAACCGCUUCAGACGCCUUGACGCUCCUUGAACCCAUUUGUCAAACUUGCCAAAACUCAGAGAAAUUCGUUUGUGCCUCAACGAUGCGAAUGUAAUGGAUGUACCUCCUGCUUUCAAGAAAUGGCUUUCUUCCUUCUUCCUCUAGUGCCUGCUCGGUGCAGAAUGCAGAUGCCCUCACCUCUGCGCAGUCAUGGAGACCAUGCCGGUCCUGCAGAGAGAAUGAAGCUACCAAAGAGAACACAGAUACAGGACACUCAAGUUAAACAAAACCACAGCGGCAUGGAGUCCUUCUCAUUAGAAAGUCAAACAGACAUCCAGAAAGCUGCAAAGCAAAUUGGAGAGAUGCCAGGACUUCAGUAGAAAUCACAGAUGAGGAUUUCAUACUUCAUGACUUUUCUUUAAGCAGGUACAAAAGCAGAAAGCUGAAGAACUGUCUGCGAUGAGCACUAAGAGUCCUGAAAUAGAGUGGGACUCAUAGAAGGACAAGAACAACAUAGACCACCCAGAGGAGGAUCCAGAAGGAAUACAUUUUAUUCUCAGCCACACUGCCUAGGCUUAUCAUCAGUUCUUUAGUGAGGAAGAACAAGAAACCAAUAGCAGACACACCCUAAAAUCUUUACUAUAAAGAUCUCAUGAUAGUAUGUAUUCAGUCAUUCUUUAAAAAAAAAAAAGAGAAAAAAAUCUUUGUAAGUGCCAGACAUUGGAGACAUAAUGGUUAACAAGACAAAUAUAGACCCUGGCCACAUGGGGUUUAUGAUCCAAUAGGAGAGACUGGCAUUAAACAAGCAAUCACACAAACGUCAUUGCAAGUUUUGAUAAGUGCUCCAAAGAAAUACGAAGUAUGGGAGGGGGGCGGGGUCAGACAACUUCCUGAGAGAGCAACAGUAGGGCCACGCCCUGAAUGAUAAGAAGGCAUUACUGGGAGAGAACUGCAGCAGAUGGUGCCAGGAAAUAACAUGCUUAAGGGUUCUGGGAGGGAAAAUGAGGCGUGUGGCCCAAGAACUGGGGUGUCUGUGCUAGAAAUAUUCUCAGUGGGAUGGAGAGUCUGCGUGGGGCAGGGCCAGACCCUCAGACCAUGUGGGCCAUGUUAGCAUCUUUGUUUUUUUCCAAAUAUAGGGUAAGUCACUGAAAGACUAGGCACACACAAUUGACGUUGACGUAUUCAUAUUUGUGUUUUUAAUGGAUCAUUCCAGCUGCACUGUGGAAAACAAGUUUGAGGGACUAGAAGGGAAAAGGAAGUCCAUUUGGGAGGCUUUUGGCCUGGCCACUAGAGUCAAGGCUCUGGUGAGCACAACCAGAUAAUGGAGGACCCUUUGCUGUGUGGAGUCCUAAAAGGCCCACAUCUCUCCAGGUAUGCUGCAGAGUGGCUCACAAAUUCUAGAAGUCCAUAUGAGGUAGAGCUGCUCAAGCAGCAAAGCUUUCAUUUGGAUUAAAUUUAGCUGAAUGAAAAGGAGUCGGGAGUAACAUUUAGUCAUAUAGAAGUUUGUGAAAAGAAUGGGUUUGACCCACUGAAGUAAGCAGCUGGGAAUGUGGGCAGGGACAUGAUUGUGCCCGCGUGCCAGAGUUUAAAGACGUCCCCUGGACGCGGGACGAUUGAACCAUGCAUAGAUAGAGCAGUUAGGUGAAGAUCAGAUUACCGUACAGACUUCUAUCAAGAACAAAGUUGGAGAAUUUGGUUUAGGUCUGUGGACAAAGUGUUGCAAAUAUUUCAGCCCUGAAUUCAACCUGCCCCGAUGGAUCUUAGUAAGCCCUGCGAUCGGAGGAGGUGGUGCAGGAUGGAACCUGUUUGGGAGCUUUUUGCCUUUGUGGGAUCCUUCCUCCCUUAAAUAGCGAAAAUUGUGUUUUACAACUGCAUUGGUACAAAAAUAUAAUCCAGCCUCAUUUAUAUUCAUUUUUCUCUUCUGAUUUUAAAAGGAAAACAUUUUCAUAGACCCCUAAAGUGGGGUAAUCAGCCCACCAGAGGUCAGAACCCAGGAAUUGGAGGUGGGUGGGUCCUGAGAGAGAAGAGGGGGACUUGAGCUGGAAAGUGCCAAUAACAGGUAGUGUUAUUCUCAUUGGGUCCACCCAAUGGAACCUGCCUGCUUGUCCCUCCAACAAAAUAUACUAGGAUCCAAAUAAAUAUUCCAGUUCUGGAUGGCCGGAUUUUCAUACUGACAGAUUUCUUGUGCCCACUAUCUGUGUACCAAGCAGCACUAAGAAAUACAGUCUGGUAACCAAAAGUAAUGUUAAUAUGUGUUCCAAUCUUCGUGUCUCUUGAAGAAUGUUCAUUGAAAUCUGUAACUCUUCACAACACUUCUAGAAAGCCUAUUUCUUCCUAAUUCUCUCAAGCCCCGCAACUGGUCUUUCUCCAAAACCCAUCAAAUUCUCUCCCUGGUGGGGCUUGUCCGCCUUCCCCAACUCUGAAUCUUCCUUUUGUUUCCUCCACUCUGUUUCUCAGCUUGUUCUUCCAAAACAAACCACCAGAGCAGCAGGGAGGAAAAAUGCCCCUCCCUGGAGAAGCAGCUAGAAGGAAGGAGUGAAGACACACCUACCUCGUCAGUCUCUGCCCUGCCACAACCGCAAAAACUAAAAGCCUUGGAAAAUGACCCAUUUUGUUACAUCAGUGUGGAACGUACCAACAGAAAUGCCCUUUGUGGAGACCAACUGUCUGCAGAGAUGCAGGUGAGCCUGGGCCUACGCUGAAAUGCCCGCAGAAGCCUGCUCUCUCGGCUCUCUCACGUCCAGGGGCAACUGCUGCAGAAGCCCAUGUUUUACAGGAAGAAGGCAAGGGCAACGUUACCCAGCCCUCCAUGGGAAAGUCUUAGUUCCUGGAGUAGAUCACUGCAUGGCCCAAGAAUGCUGUGGAACUCUGGGCUAGCUGCUUGGUGACGGAACUGAGGGCUCUGUUUCAUAGAUAACCCAGAAUUCAAAAUCCAAAUGGAGUACAGAUUGUAAAUUAUAGACAAAAUCUGUGGGAAUUUGGGAGGAGGGCAGUAUCUGUUGAGACCAUUUAGUCCCUAAGAGCCGUAUUUCUGUCUGUGUUUGAUUUGUUACUGGUACUUUCCGACUGGAGAAGGCAAUUCCAGGAUGAGGUCUCCAGGUCUGCAAAGCAGCUGAGCUCUGAACACGGCCUGGGUCUCCAGGGAGGAGGAGACUUCCCACCCAGACAAUGAGCGGUCCAUAGUUUUAUGUCUCUAAGCAAGCAAUCCAAGCCUACUUGUCCAUUUUCACGUAGUACGAGUGACUACCGCUAUGUUGUUACAAGCUUAAAGAACCCUAGGUCUCUGGAAGGAUCUCUGUGCUGUUAAAUCUCUAACAGCUCAUGUUCCAGAUAUACACAUUUCUAUUCACCAGGGAGAUGCUGCAGCUCCACCUGCUUGAGGGGAAAAAAAAAAAAAGUUAAUAUAGCCUGGAAUUGCCAAUACACCUCAGGAGGGUCAUACUGGGUCUUCCUACCAAGCAUGUCCCAUCAGUGAUAAAACUGAGACAAGCCAACUGGUGGCUGGAAGGCACCCAGAGUCAGGCCUUACAGUUUUUGAAAAAUUGAUGGAUAAAAGCCAAAGGAAAUUGCACUGACAUUUAAAAGCUGCAAUGUUCUGCAGUGGAAACCUUAUUACUCAGGGUAAAAUAUCUAGCAUUCCAGGGAAACAGAAUUACUCUCUAUCUCACUAGGGAGUUGAGGAAACAAGUGUGUGAAAUUAUAGAUGGAUAGAAUUGACAGGGCACAGACCCAGAUGUACAAAACCUGCGACUGUAUCUUCCCCCUGGUGCUUCAGAGCCCUCAUUUAAAAUGGAGAGUUUUAUUCCUACUUCAAACAUUAUCAUGCAGAUUAAAUGUGCUAAAAUAGGGAAGCAUUUCACAAUAUAGAGAUAGAGAUAGAUACAGAUGUAUUGAUACAGACUUAAAUUUUAUCUCAAGCUCCAUUCCACCUGGCCGCAGAAAUUCAGUCACGCUCACUUAGAGGAACCCCCUUAGUACAGUUCCUAU